GAACCGGACGCGCGCCCCGCCCCCAUCAGCCGGGCCCGGGGGCUCCGCGGGCUUUCGGGGCCUGGCGGGGGCCGCGUCUGCGCCGUGGCCCUGUCACUGUCGCCAAGGUCCCUGUCCCCAGCGGGACCCCCCCCCCGGGAGGCCGGGGGCGACAGAGGCCCCGUAUUCGCGGGCAGGGGUCCCAGGGCCCCCCUCUGCGGGGAGGAGGUUCUGUACGGAGGAUACGCGGAGUUAGUGAAAUCGCACACAGUGAGAGAGAAGGAGAGAGGCAGAGACACAGGCAGAGGGAGAAGCAGGCUCCAUACUCCGGGAGCCCGACGUGGGACUCGAUCCCGGAUAUCCAGGACCGCGCCCUGGGCCAAAGGCAGGCGCCAAACCGCUGCGCCACCCAGGGAUCCCUGAAUCCCUGACUUUGUUUACAACUGCAGCUCGUGGUGCAAAGUAAAAGCAAGUGAAUUCUUAA